AUCAUGGCUCAGAACGAACGCUGGCGGCAUGCCUAAUACAUGCAAGUCGAACGAGAUCUUCGGAUCUAGUGGCGCACGGGUGCGUAACGCGUGGGAAUCUGCCCUUGGGUUCGGAAUAACUUCUGGAAACGGAAGCUAAUACCGGAUGAUGACGUAAGUCCAAAGAUUUAUCGCCCAAGGAUGAGCCCGCGUAGGAUUAGCUAGUUGGUGGGGUAAAGGCCCACCAAGGCGACGAUCCUUAGCUGGUCUGAGAGGAUGAUCAGCCACACUGGGACUGAGACACGGCCCAGACUCCUACGGGAGGCAGCAGUAGGGAAUAUUGGACAAUGGGCGAAAGCCUGAUCCAGCAAUGCCGCGUGAGUGAUGAAGGCCUUAGGGUUGUAAAGCUCUUUUACCCGGGAUGAUAAUGACAGUACCGGGAGAAUAAGCUCCGGCUAACUCCGUGCCAGCAGCCGCGGUAAUACGGAGGGAGCUAGCGUUGUUCGGAAUUACUGGGCGUAAAGCGCACGUAGGCGGCUAU
rnacentral:rRNA from 1 species